GUCUAGGUCACUCUGGACCUGUCCCUACCCUCCAACAUACCCUACCUCUCUUCCUAUUUUAUUGUCAUCUGCCAACUUGCUGAGGAUACAAUCCAACCCCUCAUCCAGAAAGACUACUUUGAAUGCUGCAUUAAAUCUAGAGGACCGCAUAUGAAACAAGAGGAUAUCUGAUACAGUGUUUCGAGCAGAGAUUCAGGAUACAGCCUUCUGAAUUUUGUUCCUGCCUCAGUUAAUUCACUUGCUGAAAAAUAUGAAGGAGGCUAUGAUACAUCAUGAGCUGAGAAGACAUCUAGUAUGUAGAGGGACAAAAGAAGGACCCAUUGUUUUCCAUGUGUCAAACAGGACCAAAGACUAUUCAAAGCUGUCAAGGAGGAACUGGAACUACAGUAUUUUAUCACAGAGACAAGGUGUCUGGAAUUGCUGUGAGAGAAGGGACAACACAUAUGGAAGGAAAGGGAACCUACUUUCAAUGCUGGGAUACAGCAGCCUGAGUCUGAGCUUGGAGUUGGGGAAUAGGCCUCGAAGGCAACCUGAACAUGUGUUUUUAUGAGCCUGCACAUGUGAGAAUCUGCCAAGGGGAAAAAGGUGCCUUAAAUGAGGAUGAAGGAGCCAGGGCUGGAGGGGCAGAGAAAACAGAAUUCCUCGGAGUCAUGCAGAGUUUAUGUGAUACUCCCACUGCCUGCUUUUUUGCAGUGACACGGGGGUUCUGUUCAUGUUAGUAUAAAGAAGUGUGCUGCAGUGAUUCCUGGAUGAACUCCUGCCUCCCUUGAACUUGAAAGAAUAUGAAAUAUCCUGGGAGAGAGGUAAGCUUCCUAUCAGACACCUCACACUCUAUUAACUGCAAACAAUCAGGCUCCAGUGCUGCUGCUUGUUUGUGUUCACCUUAGGGUGGCUGACAUCUCCUACAUUGGCAGAUCUUUUACUUCCUUAACUUGUUUAUGAACCACAUGGGUUCUAUUCCUGCAAUUCACAGCCAAGGAUUAUUCUUGGAAGAGUUAACUUGGCAGUCAUUCCUGUGGAAGAACUAACCACUUUGUGUGUGUGUAUCUUUCUUGUAUUGAAAGCACCGGAUGGAACAUAAUGAUACAAUAAACCUCUGUCACAGAUACAAUGAAAGCCUCAAGUCUGAAUUCUCUGCCAACAUGAGCUGUCUUUAUUUUUUUGGAAAUGGAAGGCAAAAAGAAAACCUGGCAUCCUUAAACAAUUUUGUAAGUUCACAAAGUGCAGAGCCAGUGUAUGUCUGGAAAAGUCCCUCUUUCCCAAC